rfam:Nomascus leucogenys chromosome 16, whole genome shotgun sequence.
UAGAUUGAAGCCAGUUGAUUAGGGUGUUUAGCUGUUAACCAAAUUUUCGUGGGUUUAAUUCCACCAAUCUAG